rnacentral:rRNA from 1 species
UACAGAGGGGGCAAGCGUUGUUCGGAAUUACUGGGCGUAAAGGGCGCGUAGGCGGCCUGCUAAGUCGAACGUGAAAUCCCCGGGCUCAACCCGGGAACUGCGUCCGAUACUGGUUGGCUUGAAUCCGGGAGAGGGAUGCGGAAUUCCAGGUGUAGCGGUGAAAUGCGUAGAUAUCUGGAGGAACACCGGUGGCGAAGGCGGCAUCCUGGACCGACACUGACGCUGAGGCGCGAAAGCUAGGGGAGCAAACGGG